GAUGAACGCUAGCGAUAGGCCUAACACAUGCAAGUCGAGGGGCAUCACAUGAAGUAGCAAUACGGAUGGUGGCGACCGGCGCACGGGUGAGUAACACGUAUGCAACCUGCCUUCAACAAGGGGAUAACCCGUUGAAAGACGGACUAAUACCCUAUAACACAGGGGUCCCGCAUGGGAAUAUUUGUUAAAGGACAACCGGUUGAAGAUGGGCAUGCGUUCCAUUAGCUAGUUGGCGGGGUAACGGCCCACCAAGGCAACGAUGGAUAGGGGAACUGAGAGGUUUAUCCCCCACACUGGUACUGAGACACGGACCAGACUCCUACGGGAGGCAGCAGUGAGGAAUAUUGGUCAAUGGACGCAAGUCUGAACCAGCCACGUCGCGUGAAGGAAGACGGCCCUACGGGUUGUAAACUUCUUUGUAAGGGAAUAAAGUGUAGUACGCGUACUAUUUUGCAUGUACCGUAUGAAUAAGGAUCGG
rnacentral:rRNA from 1 species